GUACACGAGCGGCGAACGGGUGAGUAACACGUGGGUGAUCUGCCCUGUACUUCGGGAUAAGCCUGGGAAACUGGGUCUAAUACCGGAUAUGACCUGAGGUUGCAUGACUUCGGGUGGAAAGAUUUAUCGGUACAGGAUGGGCCCGCGGCCUAUCAGCUUGUUGGUGGGGUAACGGCCUACCAAGGCGACGACGGGUAGCCGACCUGAGAGGGUGACCGGCCACACUGGGACUGAGACACGGCCCAGACUCCUACGGGAGGCAGCAGUGGGGAAUAUUGCACAAUGGGCGAAAGCCUGAUGCAGCGACGCCGCGUGGGGGAUGACGGCCUUCGGGUUGUAAACCCCUUUCGACAGGGACGAAGCGCAAGUGACGGUACCUGUAGAAGAAGCACCGGCCAACUACGUGCCAGCAGCCGCGGUAAUACGUAGGGUGCGAGCGUUGUCCGGAAUUACUGGGCGUAAAGAGCUUGUAGGCGGUCUGUCGCGUCUUCUGUGAAAACUUGGGGCUCAACCUUAAGCUUGCAGGGGAUACGGGCAGACUAGAGUACUUCAGGGGAGACUGGAAUUCCUGGUGUAGCGGUGAAAUGCGCAGAUAUCAGGAGGAACACCGGUGGCGAAGGCGGGUCUCUGGGAAGUAACUGACGCUGAGAAGCGAAAGCAUGGGUAGCAAACAGGAUUAGAUAC
rnacentral:rRNA from 1 species